rnacentral:rRNA from 1 species
AGUUAAGCUUGUGAAGGGCAAAUGGUGGAUGCCUUGGGUAGUAGAGGCGAUGAAGGACGCACUAGACUGCGAUAAGCUAUGGGGAGCUGUCAAGAAGCUUUGAUCCAUAGAUUUCCGAAUGGGGCAACCCAAUGUGUAGUAAUACACAUUACCUUUAAUGGAGCGAACCUAGUGAAGUGAAACAUCUCAGUAACUAGAGGAAAAGAAAUCAAACGAGAUUCUCUUAGUAGCGGCGAGCGAACGGGGAAGAGGGCAAACCCAAUGCUUGCAUUGGGGGUUGAGGACUGCAACAUCCACUGAAAUAAUCUAAUAGAACAUUCUGGAAAGUAUAGCCAUAGAGGGUGAUAGCCCCGUAUAUGAAAGAUUAUUUCUAGGUAGCAGGAUCCAGAGUAGGUCAGGGCACGAGAAACCCGGGCUGAAGCAGGGGAGACCACUCUCCAACCCUAAAUACUACUACUACACCGAUAGCGAACCAGUACCGUGAGGGAAAGGUGAAAAGAACCGCAGUGAGCGGAGUGAAAUAGAACCUGAAACCAUUUGCCUACAAUCAUUCAGAGCCCUAUGAUUUAUCAGGGUGAUGGACUGCCUUUUGCAUAAUGAUCCUGCGAGUUGUGGUAUCUGGCAAGGUUAAACAAAUGUGAAGCCGUAGCGAAAGCGAGUCUUAAUAGGGCGUUUUAGUCAGAUGCUGCAGACCCGAAGCUGAGUGAUCUAUCCAUGGCCAAGUUGAAAGUGGGGUAACACCCACCGGAGGACUGAACUCGUACCCAUUGAAACGGGUUGGGAUGAGCUGUGGAUAGGGGUGAAAGGCCAAUCAAACUCAGUGAUAGCUGGUUCUCUUCGAAAUAUAUUUAGGUAUAGCCUCAAGUGAUAGUAAUAGGGGGUAGAGCUCUGAUUGGGCUAGGGCUGCUCACCGCGGUACCAACCCCUGUCAAACUACGAAUACCUAUUACCGUAUCUUGGGAGUCAGGCGGUGGGUGAUAAAAUCAAUCGUCUAAAGGGGAACAACCCAGACUACCAACUAAGGUCCCAAAGUUCUAUUCUAAGUGGAAAAAGAUGUGGAGUUACUCAGACAACCAGGAGGUUGGCUUAGAAGCAGCCA